GUUGAGGUCUAUCAGGAUGACUUUGUCUGUUGACCCUCAUCAUUUGAAAUGCCUCAUAGAGUAGCUAUGUGGUUUGCUUUACUCUCUGAACUAUUGCUUGUAUCUGUAGGGAAGAACUACAAGACAAAU
ensembl:snoRNA